GUCCACGCCCUAAAACGAUGUCUACUAGUUGUCGGGUCUUAAUUGACUUGGUAACGCAGCUAACGCGUGAAGUAGACCGCCUGGGGGAGUACGGUCGCAAGAUUAAAAACUCAAAGGAAUUGACGGGGACCCGCACAAGCGGUGGAUGAUGUGGAUUAAUUCGAUGCAACGCGAAAAACCUUACCUACCCUUGACAUGUACGGAAUCCUGCUGAGAGGCGGGAGUGCUCGAAAGAGAACCGUAACACAGGUGCUGCAUGGCUGUCGU
rnacentral:rRNA from 1 species